AAACUUUCAACAAUGGAUCUCUUGGCUCCGGCAUCGAUGAAGAACGCAGCGAAAUGCGAUAAGUAAUGUGAAUUGCAGAACCCAGUGAAUCAUCGAGUCUUUGAACGCACAUUGCGCCCCCUGGCAUUCCGGGGGGCACGCCUGUCCGAGCGCCGUUUUACCACCUCGAGCCCAGCUCGGCGUUGGACCCCGCCCCGGUUCGCCUGGGGCGCCGUCCGAAAUGCAUAGGCGCCCGGCCCCGGGAACCCCAGCACAGCGGAAACACUCGCUGGGGAGCUCGCGGCCGCGGCGGCCAACGAACCACCACAUGUAACGAUUGGCCUCGGAUCAGGCGGGGAUACCCGCUGAACUUAAGCAUAUCAAUAA
rnacentral:rRNA from 1 species